CAGAGGAGCCAAGCGUUGUCCGGAUUGACUGGGCGUAAAGCGCACGCAAGCGGUCUGGCGCGUGGGGUGUGAAAUCUGGCCGCUUAACGGCCAGGCGCCAUCCCAUACGGCUAGACUGGAGUGAUGCAGAGGUCGGUGGAAUUGCCGGUGUAGUGGUGAAAUGCGUAGAGAUCGGCAGGAACACCCAGGGGGAAACCAGCCGACUGGGCAUCGACUGACGCUGAUGUGCGAGAGCGUGGGGAGCGAACCGGAUUAGAUACCCGGGUAGUCCACGCCGUAAACGAUGGCCACUCGGCCUUUGGAGACGGAACACCGUCUGUGGGGGCCUUAGCAAACGCGGGAAGUGGCCCGCCUGGGAACUACGAGCGCAAGCUUA
rnacentral:rRNA from 1 species